rnacentral:lncRNA from 1 species
GCUAUUAUAUAAAACAUCCGACUACGUACACCUUGGAUGUCAUCUUGUAAUUAGUUUAAAUCAUAGCAUAACAUAUUUGUACUUAAAUACAUUAUAGAUUUUGUUGUUGUUGAAAGUAAUACAUUAUAGAUUAUCAGAUAUUAAUAUUGCAAAACACUACAAUUAGUAUCAAAUCCUAAUAGGACGUGUUAAUUCUUAGGCCGUAAAAGCCGCCCAUUAUCUGCGAUCCUCCUUCCUUUGAGGAACCCUGUUUGAUUCUUGGAAAUGAGUUACAAAAGAAAAUUGGACGAUCACUUAGCCAAAAUUGGACAAUGCAUGAGAUCAGACGAUCACCAUCCAAGGCUAUCGACCAUUGUUUCUUGGGAAUUAAUGUACUCAAAGUAUGGAUCAAUGAUUUCAGCAAAGUAUGGUUCAAUGUCUUCUUCUAAACAAAUCGAUCACUACUUCGAUAAUAAUUUCUUUUACUAAAAUCCAAUGUUGCUUAUAGUAGUCGUCCUGUAUGCCAUUUGUCCUCGCCGCUUUCUGUAACCGGCCUGAGACGAUCACCGGAGCUUCUCACCGACGUGAAAAGGUGGCUGCCUGAAACAGAAAAAUAUGAAGAAGAGUUAGGAGGAAGAAACGGAAGAAGAAGAACAAGGAUAUUGAAGAGCCGGCGGUGGUUGUGGACGAGCCGGCGGACGUUCCGACGGACGAGCGGCGGCAGUGGCCAAACCCUAGAUCUAGUCAAAGUGUUGAGAUGGAAGUUACUGACAAGAAUAAAUUAAAGAAGACCUUAUACUAAGGAGAAGUGGUCG